ensembl:lncRNA
AAAUAAUAUGACCAGAAUGCACACUUUGAUGUCCGAGGAGGAGCUCAAAGACAGUUUCACAAAACUCACACUAGAGACAAACAAAGUCAUUGAAGCUAAUGAUGAUGUCGAAGCCCAGUACAUGGCAGAAAAUGAAUCUGAGCGGAACGAAGAAGCGCUAGAUGAGGCGCAAAAAGCCGACUUAGAGAAAACUGCAACUGAGUGUGAAAAGAAACUAAAAGAGCUGAAAGACUUAAUUCAGAGUACAUUGUGGGCCAACUAUGGAGAAGAUGAGCUGACGCUGGCAGUGCAGACAGCAGAGACCGAGGCAGAACGUGUGAUGACCAUUGAACCCAGUGAAGACAAAGAAGCCUUUGAUUUCAUGGUUGAGCAUCUCAAGAGCAUGGUGGAGACUGCAAAGAAGUCACAAAUAAAGUGGAAAUGCUGGGCGCCCCCUGCAGAGCAUAAGGAGUUUCAUGGUCGAAUCAGAGAACUUGAGGUUAUCCUCCCCAAGCUCACAUCAAGGAAGGCAGACUUCAUUCGAGCAAAGGCCAGAAAAGAGUCAUCAAGAUUGAUGGAUGCAUCUUUGGUCAACUACUCAACCCCAAUCAUCAGACUAAAACCAGCAUCCCUGCCCAAAUUUACUGGAGUUAGACGUGAGUUCUAUCGCUGGAGGAGGGACUGGGAGUCACUCCAAGCUCAAGGUGAACCAUCGGGGUCAAGAGAAAUAAAGAAAUUCCAGCUCAUCGACAGCAUUGAUGAGAGAGUUAUAAAAGAUCUUCGUCUCUCAAGUCACAACACCGCAGAUGACAUAUUUCGUGUCAUGGAAAACCGUUUUGGUAACAAAACAAGUAUUGCUAUUGAGAUUGUGGAAGAAAUCCAAAGUACCCCGGUUAUUAGAUCUAAUCAACCAAAGAAAAUAAUUGAGCUCAUACAGACAGUUGAGAAAGCCCUCUCAGACCUGAGUGACCUUGAUGAAGUUGGUGCAAUAAAAAAUCCACUUGUCAUCAGGUCUAUUGAAAGUAAGCUCCCUGAUGUGCUAAAGAAGGAGUGGCUUCUUCAUGCAGCAGAAAAAGGCAAUGCCCUAACUCAAGCACGAAGGUUUGACUAUCUCCUCACUUUCCUUAAGAGCCAGGAAGUCAUUUAUGAACAGCUGGAUCAGUUAAGUGACGAGCCACCCAAGUCUAGGCCCGAACAAAGACAAGCCCGAACCAGGGCCUCAAACCAAGCCAGCAGCCAAUCAUUGGGAUGUGUGGUCUGUGGAGAAGGAGGGCAUAGAAGAAAGCUCUACUUCUGCAGAAAAUUCCGCGUGCUAAAGCUGUCUGAAAAGAAGGAUGCAGUGAGAAAGCUUGGAGGAUGCAAAAGAUGCCUUGAAGUUCAUUCAGAUUGUGAUGGCUGUUCCAAGACUGAGUUCAUCUGCAAAGAUCCAAGCUGCAAGGGAAGUUCUGGGCAUCACAUCUAUCUAUGUCCAAAUCGGGAGAAGGCUAAACAUGGAACAGUGGGAGGAGGCAACAACCGGAAGAGUUAUACAGAAGCUCAAGAAGAAUUUGUUCAAAAACUUCCUCCUGAACUUGCCCAACAGUGUCGACACGUCUUUUCUAACACUGCAUCAAGAAAUGUACAGAUCUCCAGUCGACGAAAUCUCCUGGAAGAAUACGGUAUAGCAGAAUGGCCAGUAAUCAUGAUGCUGCUUGAGGUCACUGCAAAUGCAGGUCAAAAGGUUGGAACCCUAAUUGACCUUGCGUCAGACACCAACUACAUCACACACAAAGCGGCAAAGCGCUUAAAGUUGAGAAGCGAAGCCAUUACUCUUGUUGUCCAUGGAGUUGGAGGUAUGGAGGUCACAGUAAAAACAAUGCGAUACCUCCUAAAGAUCCGUGUCCGUAAUGACAAAUCGACCUAUAACUCCCACCAGCUAGUCUGCUAUGGACUUGAUGAUAUCGCAGACAUCCACCAUCCUGUCACAGCCAAGCAACUCCAGAAGUUUUUCCCAGAUAUCCCCCUCUUUGAAUUACAAAGACCAAAAGAAGUAGACCUUCUAAUUAGUCACAAGGAAGGUAGACUGGCUCCUCAGAGGGUGAGCAUGGUGGGAGACCUUGUGCUAUGGGACGGCCCACUUGGGAAAACAGUUGCUGGCAGCCAUCCUGAGCUUUCUGAACAAACCACCAUUUCAGCUCAUGCAUCGCAAACCCACUUUGCAAGAUCAAUGAGGACAGCAGCUGUAAACUACAAAGAACUUACCCACUCCUCACCUACUAUCAAGCACUCAUACGCUACAACCACUGCUCAAGACUUCCUUAACUGGUGGAAGUGGGAUAGUAUCGGCGCUGCCUGCAAUCCAAAAUGUGGCGGUUGUCGGUGUGGAAACUGCCAACCUGGUGGUAAGGACAUGACCCUAGCAGAAGAGCGGGAAUUGGAGGUCGUAAAGAGUGGUUUGACCUAUAUCAGUGCUGAUGAACACAGUGAAAAUCCC